AGAGUUUGAUCCUGGCUCAGGAUGAACGCUAGCGGCAGGCCUAAUACAUGCAAGUCGAACGGUAAAUAUGAUAGCAAUAUUGUAUGAGAGUGACGUACGGGUGCGUAACACGUAUGCAACCUACCCUUUACAGAUGGAUGGCUCGGGGAAACUCGAAUUAACCCGUCAUAAUAUAAUUUAGUGGCAUCAUUGAAUCAUUAAAACUCCGGUGGUAAAGGAUGGGCAUGCGUCUGAUUAGUUAGUUGGUGGGGUAACGGCCUACCAAGGCUCCGAUCCGUAGCUGGUCUGAGAGGACGAUCAGCCACACUGGGACUGAGACACGGCCCAGACUCCUACGGGAGGCAGCAGUGGGGAAUCCUGCACAAUGGGCGAAAGCCUGAUGCAGCGACGCCGCGUGAGGGAGGAAGGCCUUCGGGUUGUAAACCUCUUUCAGGAGGGACGAAGCUACUCGGGUUAACAGCCCAGAGGGUGACGGUACCUCCAGAAGAAGCCCCGGCUAACUACGUGCCAGCAGCGGCGGUAAUUC
rnacentral:rRNA from 1 species